AUUGAACGCUGGCGGCAUGCUUUACACAUGCAAGUCGAACGGCAGCACGGGUGCUUGCACCUGGUGGCGAGUGGCGAACGGGUGAGUAAUGCAUCGGAACGUAUCCAAUAAUGGGGGAUAACGCACCGAAAGGUGUGCUAAUACCGCAUACGCCCUGAGGGGGCAAGUGGGGGACCGUAAGGCCUCACGUUAAUGGAGCGGCUGAUGCCUGAUUAGCUAGUUGGUGAGGUAAAGGCUCACCGAGGCGACGAUCAGUAGCUGGUCUGAGAGGACGAGCAGCCACACUGGGACUGAGACACGGCCCAGACUCCCACGGGAGGCAGCAGUGGGGAAUUUUGGACAAUGGGCGCAAGCCUGAUCCCGCCAAGCCGCGUGAGUGAAGAAGGCCUUCGGGUUGUAAAGCUCUUUCGCAAGGAAAGAAAACUUAUCCCCUAAUACGGGAUGAGGAUGACGGUACCUUGAUAAGAAGCACCGGCUAACUACGUGCCAGCAGCCGCCGUAA
rnacentral:rRNA from 1 species